AGGUCAUGAUGUGGGAAAUUCCUUAGUAAACUCAUGUACCUCUCCCAAGCUUCAUAAAGUGACUCUCCAGCUUGUUGUUCAAAGUUGGCUAUGGCUUUCUUUAACUU